GGUGACAUGGCCGAGCGGUCUAAGGCGCCAGAAUCAGGCAUGAGUCAUUUCGACGUUCUCAGUCUUUAUCUGGUCUUUCGGGGCGGGAGUUCGAAUCUCCCUGUCAUCA